GAUGAACGCUGGCGGCGUGCCUAAUACAUGCAAGUCGAGCGAACAGACAAGGAGCUUGCUCCUUUGACGUUAGCGGCGGACGGGUGAGUAACACGUGGGUAACCUACCUAUAAGACUGGAAUAACUCCGGGAAACCGGGGCUAAUGCCGGAUAACAUGUUGAACCGCAUGGUUCUACAGUGAAAGGCGGCUUUGCUGUCACUUAUAGAUGGACCCGCGCCGUAUUAGCUAGUUGGUGAGGUAACGGCUCACCAAGGCAACGAUACGUAGCCGACCUGAGAGGGUGAUCGGCCACACUGGAACUGAGACACGGUCCAGACUCCUACGGGAGGCAGCAGUAGGGAAUCUUCCGCAAUGGGCGAAAGCCUGACGGAGCAACGCCGCGUGAGUGAUGAAGGUCUUCGGAUCGUAAAACUCUGUUAUUAGGGAAGAACAAAUGCGUAAGUAACUGUGCGCGUCUUGACGGUACCUAAUCAGAAAGCCACGGCUAACUACGUG
rnacentral:rRNA from 1 species